AGUCAUACGCUUGUCUCAAAGAUUAAGCCAUGCACGUCUGAGAAUAAAGAGUUUUCUCUGAAUCUGCGAAUGGCUCAUUAUAUCAGUUAUAGUUUAUUUGAUAGUCCUUUACUACUUGGAUAACCGUAGUAAUUCUAGAGCUAAUACAUGCAUCAACUCCCAACUGCUUGUCGGACGGGAUGUAUUUAUUAGAUAGAAACCAAUGCGGGGCAACCCGGUAUUGUGGUGAAUCAUGAUAACUUUGCGGAUCGCCGGCUUCGGCCAGCGACGAAUCAUUCAAGUUUCUGCCCUAUCAGCUUUGGAUGGUAGGGUAUUGGCCUACCAUGGCUCUAACGGGUAA
rnacentral:rRNA from 1 species